rnacentral:rRNA from 1 species
UACGUAGGGACCAAGCGUUGUUCGGUUUUACUGGGCGUAAAGGGCGCGUAGGCGGCGUGGUAAGUCAGCUGUGAAAUCUCCGAGCUUAACUCGGAACGGUCAGCUGAUACUGCUGUGCUAGAGUACAGAAAGGGCAAUCGGAAUUCUUGGUGUAGCGGUGAAAUGCGUAGAUAUCAAGAGGAACACCUGAGGCGAAGGCGGGUUGCUAGGCUGAUACUGACGCUGAGGCGCGAAAGCUAGGGUAGCAAACGGG